ACGACCAGUUUUCCUCUCUUUGUACAGUUCUUCAGUUGUUUCAUUGUUUCUUAUUUUAAUAAAAGCUUAAAGUGAGGGCCUCCUCUGCUGUAUUUAGGGUAAGAAAAAUUCAAUUCUAGUCCCUGUUUGUUUGAGCAUCUAGUUUUGGCUUAUGGUCCAAAUUCAAAAGCUGAAACAAACGAGAAACAAAUGUUUGAUUUAUGUCAGAUGCCAAAACAAGGUUAUGAGUUGCCUUUUGCUCGCUCUAUUGGAUAUUGGAUAUAUUAGACAUUUUAUGCAUUUAAAUGUUAAUCCACAUAGGCAGCAUUUCUGCAAGUUUUCAAAAGGUGGCUUUUGCAGCAUCCUGGCAAAAAUUAGCUUCGGAAAAGCAAAAUCUCAACCAAACAACCUAGAUUCUGAGUUAUGACAUAAAGCUAUAACCAAAUUUCUACUCGUUGUAUCUUGCUCUAGUAAAAGGCUAGCACAUUAGCGGAAAACCCAGAAUAUAACUAUGCAAGCAAAAUCUAUUACUCUCAUAAACUAGCUUCUGGCUUGAGGAAUGUGUAGUUUGAAAAGUAUGACAUCGAUUAAUUUGUCUAUUUCCAUCAGAAACCCUUGUAUCAUUGGGGAGUGGUACGAAUACGAAUCACCAGAAGCAUUUAGCGGUU
rnacentral:lncRNA from 7 species